CCUACGGGUGGCUGCAGUGAGGAAUAUUGGUCAAUGGACGAGAGUCUGAACCAGCCAAGUAGCGUGAAGGAUGACGGCCCUAUGGGUUGUAAACUUCGUGUAUAGGGGAAUAAAAUGUGCCACGUGUGGGAUGUUGUAUGUACCAUAUGAAUAAGGAUCGGCUAACUCCGUGCCAGCAGCCGCGGUAAUACGGAGGAUCCGAGCGUUAUCCGGAUUUAGUGGGUUUAAAGGGAGCGUAGGUGGCUUGUUAAGUCCGUUGUGACCGUUUGCGGCUCACCCGUAAAAUUGCAGUUGAAACUGGCAGUCUUGCUUACAGUAGCGGUGGGCGGCCUUCGUGUUGUAGCGG
rnacentral:rRNA from 1 species